rnacentral:tRNA from 1 species
UUAAGUGUAGUUAAAUAUAUAAUGCCACAUUUUCAUUGUGGAGUUCUUUGAAAGUGCUUAUU